CGCAUCACUGGUGUUCGGGUUGUCAUGCCAAUGGCACUGCCCGGUAGCUAAAUGCGGAAGAGAUAAGUGCUGAAAGCAUCUAAGCACGAAACUUGCCCCGAGAUGAGUUCUCCCUGACCCUUUAAGGGUCCUGAAGGAACGUUGAAGACGACGACGUUGAUAGGCCGGGUGUGUAAGCGCAGCGAUGCGUUGAGCUAACCGGUACUAAUGAACCGUGAGGCUUAACCUUACAACGCCGAAGCUGUU
rnacentral:rRNA from 1 species